rnacentral:rRNA from 1 species
UACGUAGGGUGCGAGCGUUGUCCGGAAUUAUUGGGCGUAAAGGGCUCGUAGGCGGUUUGUCGCGUCGGGAGUGAAAACCAGGUGCUUAACACCUGGCUUGCUUUCGAUACGGGCAGACUAGAGGUAUGCAGGGGAGAACGGAAUUCCUGGUGUAGCGGUGAAAUGCGCAGAUAUCAGGAGGAACACCGGUGGCGAAGGCGGGUCUCUGGGCAAUUCCUGACGCUGAGGCGCGAAAGCGUGGGGAGCAAACGGG